AUACAAGUGUUUUCCUUCCCUAAAGACGGCGACGCUCUCAACAAGUGGCUACGCGCCAUUCCUAGGAAGGAUUUCGUGCCCACGUCGUGCACUAAGGUGUGCGCGGAUCAUUUCGACGCUUCAUGCAUCGAGCGGACGACAUCGUACACGGAUCCAAGGACAGGAAGAGUUAUCGAAGUCGCACUGCCAGUACCGCGGUUACGUCCUGGAUCUGUGCCAACGAUAUUUCCCGGCUGCCCGUCCUACCUUUCAGUAUCAGACCACAACACGAGAGAAACACCUGAUGCCAAGAGGAGCCGAAAAGAAGCUUCCCAACUCGCCCAUGCUGUUGAAGAAUCACUGGCGUCAUACGAAGCGGAACAGGAAAGAGACCGUUUUUCGUCCAUCGAAGAACUAAAGGCUCGCCUGCAAGUAGUCUCAGUGUCGCCAAAGUGGACUGUGAUUCAUAAAGAAGAGUGCUCGAUGUUUUUGAACAUCAUCGACUUUCGUGAACCUUGAUUGAAUGCGUCAUUGACAGUGUUUGAAAACCUCGAAGUCAUUGCCUGCUAUCAAGGAUCACAAAUCAAGAACCUUGGUAGCACUGUUGUACCUGACUCAGUUCAAAAAGUAAGUUCCUUGUUGGGAAUUUUGAACAACCUUUGCAUGCUGUCUGAGGAGCGCUGCAGUUGUCGCCACCUGUCGCUUGCAAUACAAUCCCUUCUCGACAAAUUGGAAGGUAGCAUUACUGAAGACAAGAAAGAGGUGGUAAAGUUCAUGAAGGAGCAGCUGCUACUGCUUUCUGCAAAGCGUAUUCACUACAGCGCACAGGUAAUGGUGUUUGCAUGCAUCUUGCAUACAAUAUCACCACAUGCGUACAAGUUUCUAAGAAGAACGAGUGUACUAACCUUGCCGCAUCCAAGCACUAUUAGAAAUGUGUGCUCGUCUAUUCAAAUGUGCCCACAAAUCGAUUCAUCUGAUGCCACUUUCCUUCAGUAUGUUUCCCAGAGAUUCAAACAUCUGCAGCCACAUGAACACACUGUGACGCUGAUGCUUGACGAGAUUCAUAUCAAGCCUUGUUUAGAUUACAAGGGUGGGAACAUAUGUGGUGCAGCAGUCAAUUCGAAUGAAGUAGCCACCUCGGUGCAUGUAUUUAUGAUACAAAGUCUACUGAGCUCGUUCAAGGAGGUGGCGCACAUUCUUCCGGUUAAAACCUUACAGUAGUUAUGUACACAGAGGUUGUAGUUAGAAAGCUUAUGACGCAAAGUAACUUCACCCAGUUUCUCCAUGGCCUGAACCAAAAGAAUGUCGUUCGGCAAUUGACACUGCAAUGUCUGCCGAGGCUUGAGGACAUAAA
rnacentral:lncRNA from 1 species